AUUGAACGCUGGCGGCAGGCCUAACACAUGCAAGUCGAGCGGAUGAAGGGAGCUUGCUCCUGGAUUCAGCGGCGGACGGGUGAGUAAUGCCUAGGAAUCUGCCUGGUAGUGGGGGAUAACGUCCGGAAACGGGCGCUAAUACCGCAUACGUCCUGAGGGAGAAAGUGGGGGAUCUUCGGACCUCACGCUAUCAGAUGAGCCUAGGUCGGAUUAGCUAGUUGGUGGGGUAAAGGCCUACCAAGGCGACGAUCCGUAACUGGUCUGAGAGGAUGAUCAGUCACACUGGAACUGAGACACGGUCCCGACUCCUACGGGAGGCAGCAGUGGGGAAUAUUGGACGAUGGGCGAAAGCCUGAUCCAGCCAUGCCGCGUGUGUGAAGAAGGUCUUCGGAUUGUAAAGCACUUUAAGUUGGGAGGAAGGGCAGUAAGUUAAUACCUUGCUGUUUUGACGUUACCAACAGAAUAAGCAACGGCUAACUUCGUG
rnacentral:rRNA from 1 species